UCCCUCCUCCUACCCUCCACCCUAAAAGUAGACCUCGGUGUCUGUUGUUCCCUCCUUUGUGUCCAUGAGAUCAUUUUUUUUUUUUAAUGGCCACAUAGCAUUCUGUGGAGUAUAUGUACCACAUUUCUUUAGCUAUUCUGCCACUGAUAGGCAUUUAGGUUGAUUUCAUGUCUUUGCUAUUGUGAAUAGGGCUGCAAUGAACAUAUACAUACAUGUGUCUUUAUUGUAGAAUGAUUUAUAUUCCUUUGGGUAUAUACUCAGUAAUGGGAUUGCUGGGUCAAAUAAUAGUUUUGUUUUUAGCUCUUUGAGGAAUUGCCACGCUGCUUUUCACAAUGGUUGAACUAAUUUACACUCCCACCAAGAGUACAUAAGCAUUCCCUUUUCUCUGCAAUCUUGCUUUCCACUUCUUUAUCUUUUUAAAUAAACUUCACAUUGUAGUAUCACUUCUUAAUUAUGUGAUUUUAUUAAAAACAAAACUUAGGAAGGCUUGUAGUUUCUUAACAGUUGUAUUUAUAACAAUAAAUACAACACAAUACGAUAGCUAAUAGAAAAAUAAUCUCUAUGACUUUAGAUAUCAUCCAUUAACACCUUAUUGUAAGUCUUUCCACUCUCUUGAUUUAUCCCUCUGAUUUUAUUUGAUUGAAUGAUCACUCUUCGUCUUUACCUUCACAGUCUUAUAUACAAUUAAAACUCUUGUUGAUUGCUCUCUUUUAAAUAAAUCAUUUAUCAAAGUGCAGUGCACAUGCUGAAAAGUGCCCAAAUACAUAUGCACAAAGUAUACUUAUCGGCAUAAACACCAUACACAAUUAUAAUUAUUACUUUAAUGUAAUUUUGUGAUACAAUCAUUAAGACUACGUUGAAGUAGUGUUAAAAGAAACAGCAUGCAACAUGCAAUUUAAAAUAAGAUUGAAAACAUUCUGUAUUAAGUUAUCUAUCAAGCAAAUGUUCAGUUGCCCUUACUCUACUCUUAGGCUUGUUUCUUCAGAUGGUAGAAUUUGGCUUGUGCCUAUGGAUACUUGAGGAGCCAUAGAGUCAGGAUAAUUAUUUAAUUUUAAAACAAACUAUAGUAGAAUAUAUACCAGGCUAACAAGGACAGUUAAGUAAAACAGAAGUAACUGAUAAAUUGGUAAAUGACAUUAGUCAUCAGUGUUCACCAUAUGUUUGAGAGAGAAUUAAAUUAUCUCUAUGCCAAUUUGUCUGGUA
rnacentral:lncRNA from 10 species